GGGCCCGCACAAGCGGUGGAGUAUGUGGUUUAAUUCGAUGCAACGCGAAAAACCUUACCUACUCUUGACAUACUUGGAAGCUCUUGUAAUGAGAGUGUGCCUUUUGGAACCAAGAUACAGGUGCUGCAUGGCUGUCGUCAGCUCGUGUCGUGAGAUGUUCCGUUAAGUCGGAUAACGAGCGCAACCCUUACCCUUAUUUGCCAGCGAUUCGGUCGGGAACUAUAAGGGGACUGCCGGUGAUAAACCGGAGGAAGGUGAGGACGACGUCAAGUCAUCAUGGCCCUUACGAGUAGGGCUACACACGUGCUACAAUGGGGAAUACAGACGGACGCUAAGCCGCGAGUUCGUGAG
rnacentral:rRNA from 1 species